rnacentral:rRNA from 1 species
CCGCACAAGCAGCGGAGCAUGUGGUUUAAUUCGAAGCAACGCGAAGAACCUUACCAAAUCUUGACAUAUCAAAGCUAUCUGAGUAAAAUUAGAGUUCCAUUUGGACUUUGAAUACAGGUGGUGCAUGGUUGUCGUCAGCUCGUGUCGUGAGAUGUUGGGUUAAGUCCCGUAACGAGCGCAACCCUUAUUUCUAGUUGCUAACAGGUAAUGCUGAGGACUUUAGAGAGACUGCCGAUGAAAAAAUCGGAGGAAGGUGGGGAUGACGUCAAAUCAUCAUGCCCCUUAUGAUUUGGGCUACACACGUGCUACAAUGGCCGGUACAACGGGUAUGCGAAAGGGUGACCUGGAGCUAAUCCUAACAAGCCGGUCCCAGUUCGGAUUGCAGAUUGAAACUCAUCUGUAUGAAGUUGGAGUUGCUAGUAAUCGCGGAUCAGAAUGUGCGCGGUG